rnacentral:lncRNA from 1 species
AUCUCAGCAACCGCUGGGCAUCCGGAGGAUGUGGGGACGCGGAGCUGAGAGGCUCCGGGCUAGCUAGGUGUAGGGGUGGACGGGUCCCAGGACCCUGGUGAGGGUUCUCUACUUGGCCUUCGGUGGGGGUCAAGACGCAGGCACCUACGCCAAAGGGGAGCAAAGCCGGGCUCGGCCCGAGGCCCCCAGGACCUCCAUCUCCCAAUGUUGGAGUAGAGACAGGGUUUUGCCCUGUUGGCCAAGCUGGUCUUGAACUCCUGACCUCAAGUGAUCCACCCGCCUCGGCCUCCCAAAGUGUUGGGAUUACAGGCGUGAGCCAUCGUGCCCAGCCAGAUUCUCCAUUUCUAACAAGUUCCCAGGUGAUGUCGAUGAAGCUGGUUCGUGAACUGCACUUUAACAUGAUGUAGAAAUUUUACAAACUAGUAGAGUAAGGGGGUGGCUGCAGGCUGGAGAGGAAGUCCAGGCUAAACGCCUGGCAACUUGAGGUGGUUUCCGCCCCCUUGCUCGCUGAGGUUCCCUCCCAGGAAUCCGACACGUGACGGUCUGUCCGCCGUCUCAGACUAGAGGAGCGCUGUAAACGCCAUGGCUCCCAAGAAGCUGUCCUGCCUU